rnacentral:misc_RNA from 1 species
AUCUUUAUAGAAGCUGCAGGAAGAUAAAUACAGGGCAUUUGCAGAUAUGAAGAUCUAAUUGAGAGCUGUAACAGGUAAGUAGGAUCCCACGCCAGAGGAAGGUGACAUACAAUAAAGUAAAUUUGAUUUAACCAUUACCCAAAAAGCCAUGAAAAGCAUUGCUAGGAAAUGGUUCCAAUUCUCUUCAAAUACAAUCUAGACAAUUCUUAAGAAGAGACCACCCAAAUGAGUUCUUGAACCA